CCCCACAGCUCUGCAUUUCCCUCCCUGGCACAGGGACUGGGACAGUUCUGCCCUGUGUGAAGCAGACAUGGUGCCCCUGUUAUUGCUGCCCCUGCUGUGGCGGGGGUCCCUGCAGGAGAAGGAAGGCUAUGAGCUCCAAGUGCAGGAAUUGGUGACGGUGCAGGAGGGUCUGUGCAUCCAUGUGCCCUGCUCCUUUUUCUACCAGCGGGGCUCGUGGUUUUCCUCUAGAGAACUCUACACCUUCUGGUACCUGAGUGAAGAUGGCACAAAUUAUGCAUCUCCUGUGGCCACAAAUGACCGAUAUGCACAAGUGAAGCAACAGACUCAGGGCCGAUUCCUCCUCGCAGACCCUAGGACCAACAGUUGUUCCCUGAGCAUCAGAGACUCCAGGAAGAGUGACACAGGAACCUAUGUCUUCCAAGUGCUGACUGGAUAUUUUGACAGAUAUACCUACCAAGAUAAGAAGCUGACUUUGAAGGUGACAGACCUGACACAGAAACCUGACAUCCACAUUUGGGGGCCCCUGGAGUCUGGCCGCCCCACACAGCUGAGCUGCAGCCUGCCAGGGUCCUGUGAAGAGGGAAGUCCUCUCAUCUUCUCAUGGGUGGGAAAUGCUCUUGAUUCUCUGAAUCUCAAGACCCUUCGUUCCUCCAUGCUCACCUUCACCCCGAAGCCCAGGGACCAUGGCACCACAGUCACCUGUCUGGUGACACUUGCAGGACCGGGGGUGACCACACGUGAAACCAUUCAGCUCAAUGUCUCCUAUGCUCCACGGAACCUCGUGAUAGGCGUGUCCUACAGAAAUGUCACAGCACUCGAGAUUCUGCAAAAUACUUCAUCCCUUCCCAUCCUGGAGGGUGAGGCUCUGCGGUUGCUGUGUGUGGCUGACAGCAACCCCCCUGCACAGCUGAGCUGGUUCCAGGGAUCCCCAGUACCGAAUGCCACCCCCAUCUCCAGAACCACGAUCCUGGAGCUGCCUCGAGUGGGGACUGGAGAAGAAGGACAGUUCACAUGCCAAGCUCAGCACCCACUGGGCUCCCAAAGUAUCUCUCUCAGCCUCUCUGUGGUCUAUGCCCCACGGCUGGUGGGACCCUCCUGCUCCUGGGAGGACGAGGGUCUGCGCUGCAGCUGCUCCUCCCGAGCAGAGCCGGCCCCCUCGGUGCGCUGGCAGCUGGGGGAGGGGCUGCUGGAGGAGAACCCCAACAACGACUCCUACACCAUCACCUCCCGCUCCGUGAGGUCCUGGGCCAACAGCUCCCUGAGACUCCGCGUGGGGCUCAACGCCGGCCUCAGGAUCACCUGCGAGGCGAAAAAUGUCCACGGGGUCCAGAGCGCCAGUGUCCUGCUGCUUCCAGGGAAGUCGAUAUCUGUUUCCAGAGUGGUUCCCGCAGCUCUUGGAGGUGCUGGUGCCAUGGCCCUACUCUCCUUAUGCUUGUGUCUCAUCUUCUUUUACAUAGUGAAAUUGCACAGGAAGCAAACAGACAGGAGACGAAAGGCCACAAAUGAUGAAGACCCUGUCAUGGGCACAGUCACCUGGGUGAGUGAUGGUUUCCAGCUAAACCCUAGGCCAGAUGGGCCUCCAGACCUAGUGUCACCCACUGGGGAUGUCUCUCCAUUGAGAGAGGAGCAGGAUACCCAGUAUGCCAAACUCACCUUUCAUGGGAGAAAGCCCUGGGAGCCUCAGGACAAGGAGGCCAUCACCACCUGUGUGUACUCAAAGAUCAAGGAGACACGCCAAUGAGGACUCGCUGAGAGCUCCGUCCUAGCUAGAGGCAUCACAGCCUCUAUGAGGGAAAGAAGACAGGGACUAAUUGAUGAAACGUGAGGAAACCUCGUGCAACAUUAACAUUAACCACUGUAAGAGCACCUGCAGACAGAGCAGAAAGAAGGUGAUGGGAUUGGAGAAACUUGGACUCAAGUGCAGACUUCAGUACUUCCUAAGGCAUUGUCUUCAAAAAUUGAGAAGAUGGCCCUGAGGAAAGAAGAGGACAAUUAUAGUUUGUAACUAGGACUUUGGUUCCCCACAUCCACUACAUGAACUCCAAUUUCGGUAUGGCAAGAAGUUGAAUUGUGACUCUUGUCUUGCUAAUAACUGGUUAAAUCAUUCUGCUCAGGACUUGUGCUGAAAAUAACAAAAUUCUUUCGGAAAAAAGUAAAUAGAAAAAAAUAAAAUUCCUCAUUUUUAUAAGUAUAGAAUAAUUGAAAAUAAAUAAAAAUGGGCACUCACUAGGCUAGUAUUUGGAGAAUACUUGAAUUCAGAAAAUGAGACAGAAUAUUUAAACCAAGAUACCAAAGUUCCCAAUGACAUCUACGCACACUGAUCAUGUAGCUUUGGUUCUGUGGCCUUUGUGACACAGAAAUGAAAGGGGCUUGAAGAGAAAGGGAAAGAAAGAAAUUAUGAGACUCCUGGGAGCCUUCCUGUUUUAUUCUCGAUUUGAGAUACAAUCCCAUAGUGUAACUUGUAUGUUUAUAUAAUGUAAACUAUUUUAAUAAGGCACCAUAUUAUAUAUUUCUCAUAUUUAUUAAUGUAUAAUAUUGUACUAUAGUAUACAAAAUACAAUAUGAAAAAUUACAGUGUA